UUCAGAUUGCAGUCUGCAACUCGACUGCAUGAAGUCGGAAUCGCUAGUAAUCGCGGAUCAGCAUGCCGCGGUGAAUACGUUCCCGGGCCUUGUACACACCGCCCGUCACACCAUGAGAGUCGGGAACACCCGAAGUCCGUAGCCUAACCGCAAGGGGGCGCGGCCGAAGGUGGGUUCGAUAAUUGGGGUGAAGUCGUAACAAGGUAUC
rnacentral:rRNA from 1 species